rnacentral:rRNA from 1 species
AACGAACGCUGGCGGCAUGCCUAACACAUGCAAGUCGAACGAGACCUUCGGGUCUAGUGGCGCACGGGUGCGUAACGCGUGGGAACCUGCCCUUAGGUUCGGAAUAACUCCCCGAAAGGGGUGCUAAUACCGGAUAAUGUCUUCGGACCAAAGAUUUAUCGCCUUUGGAUGGGCCCGCGUUGGAUUAGCUAGUUGGUAGGGUAAAAGCCUACCAAGGCGACGAUCCAUAGCUGGUCUGAGAGGAUGAUCAGCCACACUGGGACUGAGACACGGCCCAGACUCCUACGGGAGGCAGCAGUGGGGAAUAUUGGACAAUGGGCGAAGGCCUGAUCCAGCAAUGCCGCGUGAGUGAUGAAGGCCUUAGGGUUGUAAAGCUCUUUUACCCGGGAUGAUAAUGACAGUACCGAGAGAAUAAGCACCGGCUAACUCCGUG